UGCACUUUGAACCCCCCCCCGUAGGAUUCGAUUGAAAGGGAACAAGAUCAACAUCGUCACCAUCCAGGCAUACGUCUUCAUUCCUUCCCCACGUUUGGUACUAAGGUUCCUCUAUCGCCACCAUAUUAUCACGAUCGAUCCACCAUAGUAAUCGUGAUGGUACAUGAAAGCAUUGGCACCACUGCGCACCCUAGUCAUCCUUGUAUUAUACAAAAACCCUAACAAUGACUACGCGUGAGGAUUGCCAGUGGCGACAGCCGACUCAAUCUCCGAAGCAACAUCCUCCAUUGCCCUACCCCCAUCGCUCACGGUGGCAACCAUUUUCCUGAGGCUCGAAUAAUAAUCCUCUACCUGGGGAUUGAUCGGGAACACUUAGGCGGAAUUAGAGUUGGAUUAUUUAGGGUCGAAUAUCAGACGCCAGAAUCCAGGAUCCAGGUCGUCAUUGGACCUAGCGUCUGAUUCACCGAAUGCGUCCCAAUCGGCAGCGAAAGAGGGAUCAUCAAGAGACUCAUCGACGGGUCCAUCCUUCAGGUCGUCUUGAGAGAGCAAUUCAUCAUCUACCGAUCCUUAAAAUCCCUCCAAACGUAACGGGGACAUUUGCACAGGUACAGAUUAUGUGACAAUGUGUGGACAUUCAUUCUUCAAGAUGCUCUGUUCUUAAUGGAGUACAAUAUAAUUAUGAAGUUGAUACUUGAAGAAUGGACCGCAAAUUUAAAAGUGAUUCUAAGCAUUCUCAGAGAAUAUUAUUCUUACAUGAUUUGAUUUAUGGUAGUUAUUUUCAUUAAAUGUCUAAUUUCAUGGAUGAUCAAGGAAAGAGUUAUUCUUCUGAUAGAAUAAUCUACAAUAGAAUGAUAGGAGUAUAUGUAAUAAUAUAUUCUGCUAGAAUAUUCAGGUCGAAUAAUAUAUAUAUAUUUUUAUUUGUUAUUAGUAA